GGUUCCUGUCGUUCAUCACGACGACAAGGAUCUUGAAAGGAAGAAACGCGACGAUGCAAGAAAGUCAUCGAUAUCUAGCAGAAAAGUCGAUGUUGAUGCGAACAUGGAGAAUGUGCGAGAGCUUAAAAAAAAGUAGAGAAGGAAGCGAAAAAACGAAAGCAUGAUCUGCAGAAAGAAGCUAGCAGAAUUUUACUGGUGGAACUGCCGGAGAAGAAGAAGUGCAAUUGCGACAACGUAAAAUACCAGGAUAUGGACAAAAAAGUUUGCAUGCUUGAAUCACAGAUGGAGGAACAAAGGGUGAAAAGUCGGAUGUUGUAAGACGCAAUACUUCAGUUACAGACAAACACAUCAAAAGAUACAGGAUCUGGAAUGAGGAUGCUCAUUGACUCAUAUUGCCUUUCGGACGAGGAAGAGUUGAUCUCACUUCAUUCUUCACCGAACUCAUUACGUGUGACUCCGGAGAAGCAA